UACAGAGGGUGCAAGCGUUGUUCGGAAUUAUUGGGCGUAAAGCGCGUGUAGGCGGCUUUGCAAGUCGGGUGUGAAAGCCCUCAGCUUAACUGAGGAAGUGCGCCCGAAACUGCAGAGCUUGAGUACCGGAGAGGAUGGCGGAAUUCCCCAAGUAGAGGUGAAAUUCGUAGAUAUGGGGAGGAACACCGGUGGCGAAGGCGGCCAUCUGGACGGAUACUGACGCUGAGACGCGAAAGCGUGGGGAGCAAACGGG
rnacentral:rRNA from 1 species